rnacentral:rRNA from 1 species
ACAAGCGGUGGAGUAUGUGGUUUAAUUCGAUGCAACGCGAAGAACCUUACCUGGUCUUGACAUCCCGGAGACCCUUAGGAAACUAGGGGUGCUUCCAUCUGGAAGAAUCUGGAGACAGGUGCUGCAUGGCUGUCGUCAGCUCGUGUCGUGAGAUGUUGGGUUAAGUCCCGCAACGAGCGCAACCCUUGCCUUUAGUUGCCAGCAGUUCGGCUGGGCACUCUAAAGGGACUGCCGGUGUUAAACCGGAGGAAGUGGGGAUGACGUCAAGUCCUCAUGGCCUUUAUGACCAGGGCUACACACGUACUACAAUGGCCGAUACAAAGGGCAGCGACACUGCGAGGUGAAGCCAAUCCCGUAAAAUCGGUCUCAGUCCGGAUUGGAGUCUGCAACUCGACUCCAUGAAGUUGGAAUCGCUAGUAAUCGUGGAUCAGCAUGCCACGGUGAAUACGUUCCCGGGCCUU